AUUGAACGCUGGCGGCAGGCCUAACACAUGCAAGUCGAGCGAGCGGCGGACGGGUGAGUAAUGUAUGGGGAUCUGCCUGAUGGCGGGGGAUAACUACUGGAAACGGUCGCUAAUACCGCAUACCCUCAGAUGACCCCAUAUGGGAUUAGCUUGUAGGUGGGGUAACGGCUCACCUAGGCGACGACCCCUAGCUGGUCUGAGAGGAUGAUCAGCCACACUGGGACUGAGACACGGCCCAGACUCCGACGGGAGGAAGCAGUGGGGAAUAUUGCACAAUGGGCGCAAGCCUGAUGCAGCCAUGCCGCGUGUAUGAAGAAGGCCUUCGGGUUGUAAAGUACUUUCAGUCGGGAGGCGUUACCGACAGAAGAAGCACCGGCUAACUCCGUGCCAGCAGCCGCGGUAAUAC
rnacentral:rRNA from 1 species